rnacentral:tRNA from 1 species
UGCGGGGGUGGCGGAAUUGGUAGACGCGCUACCUUGAGGUGGUAGUGGGUUUUCUCGUGGGGGUUCGAGUCCCCCCUCUCGCAU